ensembl:rRNA 5S_rRNA 5S ribosomal RNA
AACUAUGGCCAUACUACUCUGAACGUGCGGGAUCUCGUCUGAUAUUGGAAGCUAAGCAGGGUCAGGCCUGGUUAGUACUUGGGUGGGAGACCGUCUGGGAAUACCUGGUGCUGUAGGCA